UCAGAAAUGUGAGAGAAGAGAGAGGUGGAACUGCAUAUAGCAUUAUGCUUGGGAGAUGCUAUAAAGAUGGGAUGAGUAGAAGAAAAAUAAAUGCUGACAUCUUUUUGAAAGCAAAACAACAACAACUCUGAAAUAUAUGAAUGAUUAACUCCAUAGCAUCUCAUUGACUUUCAUAACAUCUAAAAUUUGGAGCUGUUUUCAUAUACUUGCUACAGUUCUGCCUUAAAACAAAAUGUUUGUGUUGGCACCUAGGGAAGCAGAAAAGUAUCAAAUCUUAAGGCUGCAAGAGCUUAGCAGAUGUUUCAGUGAACGGAAUUUUCAAAUUCUUUAGCAUUAAAAAUAGCUAGAAAUCUGAGGUGCUUGGGUUACACUUUCUGUUUCGGUGCAGAGCCAACCAUUGUGCUUGAGUUUUAACAGAUGUGCUGUUCUUUUUUUUCAAGUGGAUGGGAAUAUAACACUACUACUGCUGUGUAGUUAUAAAUUAUAAUCAGAAAACAUUCUUAACCUUAGAUAGGUAUAGUGAAAUAAUUGUAUGCUCGAGCAAUAUGCCUGCAUGUAUAUGCCCCAGUGCCACUCAGAAGAUCCAUGGUGGUAAGAAGAUUAAAGCAUAUAUAUUUCUUGCUGGAUUGGUCAAGUGAGAUACACAUUUGGAUACACCUGAAUAUUUAUCUGACUGAUAAAGGUGAGAUAUACUGUCCUGAAUAGAUACUAAAUACUUUUUUUAAAUGAAAGCUCAGAUUCUGGGCGUACCUGCCCAGGGGAAUUCCUAGAAACCUUCAUGGGCACCUUGUUUAUAUCAUCCAUAAACAAAUCUCCUGAUUCAGUAGAAUUGCUCAGAUAUGUUAUGAUAGUUUAAAGGAGGAUUUAAAAAGCAAUACUUUUAAAAAAUCCUGCUUUAUUAUUUCCAGUCUUUUCAUUUUUAGCACACCUAUGACUUUACCUACCACCUACUAAAGCUGACAGUACUUAAGUAGUGAACACAUGGUGCAGUAGAUUCAUGAAUGGCACCCAAUAUGCUUACCUUUCCUUAGCUGAAUGCCAGCUUGUUCUCCACCUUCUUUUUUAAUUAAACUUUAAAAUGAACAAUGAAGAGCAAGAACAGAGAAACACUUGAGAUUAUUGGCUUGGAAGAAAAUGAUCUGCACCCUAGAGAAAGCCAAUUGCACAUAAGCAAUUCCCCAGUGGAUCAUAUUUAGCCUGGGUGUCAGCACAAAACUCUUGACAUUGAAUCCUCCCUCACAGACCAAGUCAUCAAACCAUCUUUGAUCAUGCUUUAUGCAACAGCAGUUUCAGUUAUUAAACCUCCUACAGGGUCUGCUGCUGGCAGGCUAAACCACUGUUAUUUCUUUUUUUAAAAAACCCCCAGCCAGGAUCAAUCCAAAUAGAGGCAGAAAUCUUGAAAUCCCUUGUUCACAGUGGGCACCACUGAAGUGGUUUUGAGGCUGUAUUCUGGCAGUUCAGGAUGCCAGUUCAUACUGAAGUAAUUAAAGUUAUGCGCUCUAAAUGGUAUAACUAUUUUGAUUCUAGUUAGCUUGUAGGCAGAUCUCAAGUACGGAAGAGCUUGCAUUAAACUUCAAAGUGUUAGUGAAGUAGUGGGGAACCUGCCCUCCUCAGUUCUUACCCUUUGUUUUUGGACUUCAACUCCUGUCAUCACCAGCCUGCAUGGCCAAUGGUCAGGGCUUAUGGAAGUUGCAACUACUGAAGGGCCACAGGUUCUCCCCCCCGGUUUAGUGUAUAAUAUUUUCACUAUUGGUAAUUUGGUAACUUAAAUAUAAUAUCUUACCAAAGUUGUUCAGUCCUCACAAAAGUAAGAUGUUUAGUCAAAUACUCAAGAAAUCAAAAGUCACAUGCAAGGAACCAGGAGAACCAGUCAAACAUACAAAAAGCUGAAGAGAAAAGUAAGUUUUUCCAGAGAGUAAAAAAGUUCAGGGACUUAGCUACAUCGGUCAAAUUAAAGGUAAAGGGACCCCUAACCAUUAGGUCCAGUCAUGACCAACUCUGGGGUUGCGGCGCUCAUCUCGCUUUAUUGGCCGAGGGAACCGGCGUACCGCUUCCGGGUCAUGUGGCCAGCAUGACUAAGCUGCUUCUGGUGAACCAGAGCAGUGCACGGAAAUGCCGUUUACCUUCCCACCUGAGUGGUACCUAUUUAUCUGCUUGCACUUUGACGUGCUUUCGAGCUGCUAGGUUGGCAGGAGCAGGGACCUAGCAACGGGUGCUCACCCCGUCGCAGGGAUUUGAACCGCCGACCUUCUGAUCGGCAAGUCCUGGGCUCUGUGGUUUAACCCACAGCACCAGCCGCGUCCCUAAUUGGUCAAAUUACAAUAUUAUAAAUGUGUUAUAACACUGUGACACCAGAUGGUGUUGUAGAGCUGAAAUCACAACUCAAUGAUAUUUUCCAUUGUGAGCUUUACGACUUUUUCAAAAAGAGCGUUUUCAGAGUGGUUUUUUUAUAGCUUGGUAGAUCUAGCCCCAGUCAUCACAGGCUGAAGGCAUAGCUGGCCUGGAGGGCAGGAUGACUUCUGCCUGUCAUGGCCAGCAGGAGGAACAACCCUAAUGAGAAAAGUCAUCCAUCCCUAUCACAACCUAAAAAUUCAUGGUCAGUAAGAAUUUCCAUUUUCCUACAUUUCCUAAGAGCUGGAGCUUGCAGAGGAGCAAUUCCAAAUAGGUUUCCCCCUUAGACAUGAUAUGGUUUCACACACUUGGGUGCAUAAACUUACAUCUGUCUGUAUAGCUGGAGGUCAACUGAACAAUAAUAUGUAGAAGGUUUCUUAAAGUGUGCUUUGUGUCAUGAUAUUGAUACUUCUUCCUGACCUUUAGGAAUGGCUGGCCUGCUUUACCUAACUCUGGUCUUUAUUUCUGUUCAUGCCAUCUUUGUAAAAGUGCCAUACCGCUUUAAACCUUUUCCCAAUCAGUUUCAUAUGAUGGGUUCUCUUUAAUCAUUUACAUUCUGGGGAAAGUCAAAUAUUCCAUAAGAAGCCAAAGUAAUCUAGCUGAAUAUAUAGUGUUUGUGCAGCUGGAUAUUUUAUUUAUUUGAAGUAUUGCGAGAACUCUCUUCUGACUUUACAGAAAAAAGGAUGACGAGUAAACAGUAAGAGGGUCCAAGUAAUCUGAACCUGAAAGUCCCUUCUUUUAGAGCAAAGUCAUAACAUUUUCCAUCUUCCAAAAAAGAAAAAGAAGUCUACAAAGCUAUAUAAUGCUCUUAUAGUACUGCUGUUUUUUUCUUACUUUGAUCAGUCUUUAAAAGUGUUGAUAUUACCAAAUAGAAAAAUAAUAAUUACUGUCUAUUCUAUGAUAUUUCAUUCAUCAUUACUUAUAUUUUUUGGCUAGGCACAAUACUCACAUAACAUUAACAUUUUAAAAUGAAUUUUCCUUGCCCUUUUCUGCUCUCUUUCUGUUCUGUUCUUUCACUAAAUGUCUUAAGAUGUUUAUAUAUCCCAUCUUCUUUCAGAGGUAUUAAAGCUGUUCAAUACUCUGAUUGAAAUACAAGAUAUUUUGAACUACUGUUCCAUAUUUUUAAAAAUAAAAGAUGCAGGGAAUGUGUGGUCAUAACUCUUAGUUUGUGCAUAGUGCAAUCCAAGCAUGGGUGCCAACUUGGAAAACAAAAUUGGGGGGCCCAGGUAAGCCCCAACCCACAUAAUUGAUCACAUGAUGCAAGGCACACACACCAUCUGAAUGGUAAUGCCCAUCAACUUUUGGGGGGAAGCUCCCUCUAAUAUUUUAGGGGGGGUGAAGGGACCUCAGCCCCUAGGAGUUGGUUUUUAAUUUUCAAGUUUCUUUUUUUAAAAUUUAUACCCUGAUUUUUGAUGAGCCUGCUCCACAAAGCAGAUUACAGUGUGAAAUAUACAAAUACAACACACACAAAUAAUAAGCCGAAUAAAUUGUUUAUUAUUAUUGUUUUGCUGUUCUUUGAACCUUGUUAGUGGAAAGGCAUAUAUAUCAUUGUAAUAGUAAUGAAUCAUUCCCAGCAAAGAUUCAGGUACAGCCACUCACAGCUAUGGCCCGGCACUAACUAAGACUCUCUUGCUGAUUGUUCAUAGCUGCAUUGACCCACCAACAUACAGCAGUCCUCCAUCUGGCCCCUGAGUUUAAAUAUCUAGAGACAAAGGAGUGCUUGCUAGCUGGGUUUUGUCUGCUGUUACUCUUGGCAUGUACAGUAAUACUCAGUAUCACAUUUCGGUGUCUCCUUACUGCUGACAUUCACUAAUCACCUUCAGUGAUUAGUGUUGUUGUGUUUGAACAACCUUCAGCUUAUUUGAACUAAGCCGAAAUAAGUAAAAGGUGGAUUCAGUUUAGUACAUUUGAACUUAAAACAGAAAAUGCAUACAACAAAAUAAAACAAAUAGAAGAAAAGAAAAAUAAUCUCACAAAUUUUGUUGAUGUGAAAAAAGUUCACUACCUUCCUCUAAAGACUGUUGUGUGAUCUUAUCUAAGAUGAUUUAUCAUGUAUGUUGAAAUGAUUGAUCCUGUUUGGCCUUUUCAUUCAAUUAUGAAAGAAAAGGGAAUAAAUAUUACUGAAUUGAUCACUCAGUGUUCAAUAUAUAAAUAUGGAUUUAUCCUGUCCAUUACUUAUUUCAAGUAUUGUGGAAAUAUUGAUUGCAAAACACACACAACCGUAAUGCACUUUAAAACUUUCCAGUUCAGGUAUGCAUAUUGCUUUGGAUUUUUUGGGAGGGGAGGGCUGUCAGAGUAAGAAGGAGACAUUUGUGUAUCAUUUUAUUUUUCUGCUUUCUAGAGUUUUUAGAUUAGUCAUAUCAAUCUCUUCUUGGCAGUUGGAUGACAAAUAUAAAGAUCAUAGUCAAAUUCCAUCCAUUAUUUUAGUGAAAACAUAUAUAUUUGCAGUUAAUACCAAUAUUGAUAUAGCAAACUCUUCUGUGCGUGCCAGAAAUCCAUAUACAGUACUUGAGGAAUUAUAUUAAUUGGAAAAACAUUCCAUAGAAAAGAGAUAAAUAUAACAGUCACAUUUAAAAUAAGUCAUUUUUUAUGUAUACAAAGAGCUGUUCCUGUAGAAAACUCUUGUAUAUUUAUCUUCAAUAUAUAUGGUCCGGCUAACAGCAUUGCAUGUUUCUGAAAUAGUAACGAAUUCCAGGCAUAAUCUUUAUUCCUCCUUAUUUUGGAUAGGCUAUAUACUAUUUCCUACCAUAUUUAUUUCUCCCUUUCUUGUUAGCAAAUUGGCAUCUCAAGGUGACUGAUAUAGAGUGGUUGGUUUACAGUAGGCCAUGGCUAGUGCCUGUAUUUCCAUACCAGCUGUAAAUACCGUCUAUCCAACACUUAUAUGGCCAAAUCACCUUUCAAUAAAGAUUUUUAACUUUUGAAACUUAUGAAACCAAGAAUAUAACAUGGUGCCAUAUGCAGUUGGAAGUAUUGGUUAUCCAUUGUGCAUCUUCUAUCACACAGGUGGAGGGGAUUCAGCACAUUAAGGCACCACUUCUCAGUACAAUGGUACCUUGGGUUGCGGACAGGAUCUCUUCUAGAGGUCCGGUUGGAUCCCAAGGUUUCUGCAACCUGAGGACCACUUCUGCGCAUGCGCAGACCGCUUCUGCACACGUGCGUGCAGCGAAACCUGGUAAAAUACUUCUGGGUUUGUCGCGCGUGCAUCCCAAAGUUUACAUAACCAGAGGUUUACGUAAACGGAGGUUUGACUGUAGUUGGGUAGCACAACACUUGAGAGUUUGUCAAGAACUGAGGUAGAAGAUGGCAAGGGUGGAAAUGAGGGGUUGGUGGUUGAGUAAAUCUAGGUUCUGUUAUAAACUCACAGUGCUGGUAAUGUACAACUGAGUAACAGAACACAUGGUUAGGGAAUCAGUUUGUGUGCCCCUCUCUCCACCUUACCUCACAAACUUGCUGUAAUAUUUAAACACAUUGCAUGCAUGCCCAUUCCAUUGAUCCUAGGUGCAAUAUGUGUGAUAUUUAGCUCUGUAUUUUAGGAAUUAAAAUAUCAUACCUACUCACAUUAGAUUAGAUUAUUUAAUUUCUAUACCUCUUAAUAUAUUAAAAAUAUCUCUAAACAGUAUUCAGAAAACUGAAGCAAAAACAGACAACUUAAUCAAAAUAUUUCAAAAAUACAGUUCCAUAUUAAAAUGUUACAUUAAUGCAGAGUUACUAAUAUAUUAAUCAAUAUAAAUUCAUUUUCCUUCUGACACACCCUCCCUCUCACCCUCCGGGUUCUAACCUAGGGUUCAGCAAAUUCUCAGCUCACCUGUCAGGAUGUCACCAGAAGGUGUGCUGUCUUCCAGGUGUGAAUUACAAUGAACAUAAUUAAUGUUGCAUAGCACCAGGGCAUUUUUUCAGGUGGAGCUCACUGGAACUCAGGUGGAGCUCUCAGGUGGGCACUAUUGCCAUUAUAAGAGUUCAUGGUGAGUUCUGGCAUAUCUUUUUCUAGAAAAAUAGCACUGUCACCUCCAUUGGACUUCAUGCUGAAAUAAGAAAUGGGUCUCUAUCACUGAAAGCUGGAUAUAAAGAGUCAGCAAGGAUACAGAAUAGAAGAGAUAAUUGCUACAAGGUUAUGGACAAGUUUCCAUUACACCCUUUUCAUGGUAGGCACUACAUGACCUGAGUUCCAGUUGUCAGCACUCUACAGAGAAAUUGAUCCUAUGGAGGCCGAGAGAUUUGUAUGCAUUAAUACUAAAUAUGCCACUGGAAUUUUGUGAAAAGCCGCUCCAAGAGUCUGCCAGUAUGUGCAGAAUUGUGGGUGUGAUACUAGAUAUAUACAACUGGCUAGAGAUGAGUGUGUGUAUCACCUUCCACACUGGAACACAUUGGUAGUAUGAAUAAUAUUCUCAAGGCUGCAAAGUUUAUUGCUUCUGACUUUCUCACUUUCCCCAUCAAUUCUACUCUGACUUAAAACAAUUUUAAUUGCAUGCUGUUCAGAUACAAAAGUGGGCAUUAUUGUGUGUCUGCCAAGUUGAUCCCAAAAUUUAUAACCCCAAUGAAACUUCCCUUAUUGAUGGGUACACAAACAGUCCCAACAAAUAUUUCAUGGUUGAGCUGAAGGUUAAUGGAGUCAUCAACAGAGCCUUUGAUAUCUUCUUGUGAUUUUGAAGACCUGGAAAAUAUGCAGUAGGUGUAGAUUUUGUAUCUUUCCCCUUGUCAGUGGGUAAAAAUCACCAGAGGAAAAUGGCCAGAGGAAAAAGGAUGAAGCAGUCCUUUUCUCAACAUUCUUCCACUCAUGAACAUAGCCUCUAAGUCUGCUCAUCAUUAAUAUCAUCAGUAAUAAUGAUGAUGUCUGGAGAGAAUUAUUACUAUCUGGAGAGAGUAGCACAUGGCAGCUCACAAGUAGUUUGUCCAGGUCUGGGUUUCAAUAUACAUGUGUCCUACAGAUACAGUUGUUCAAAAGAGAGGAUUGGGUGCUCCGCAGCUAGCCAUAGUUCGGUACUGUGUGAUGUGUGUGACAAAGUCCUUAGAUUAUAUAAUAUGAAUUUUUUUAUCUCAACUAUUAUUCAUGAUUAACUAAAGGAAGUUUUUGUGCUAAGAAUUACAAAUGUGUGUUUUCAUGACAAGGAGAAAGGUAGACUUAUAAAUCAUAAUAUAAAUCUGAUAGAUUUAUGAAUGAAUGUUCUUGGUUUUUAGUAGUUCGGAUACUUAAAUUUUGGGGUGGGGGAAAUGCCUCUUAGAUUCUUUCAAAAAUAAAAGGAAGAAGAUUUUCUCUCUCUACUUCAGAGACACAUAUUACUCUGCCAGCUUGAAUAACCGGCCAUGUUUCAGCCCCAAAUGUCAAAAAUAAACAGAUGAAAGUGUGUGUUAUAUUUUUACACUGUUGUCAGAUGCUAUUGGUUUGUCUUUUUCAGAGUCCUAUUUAUUUCAGUAAAUGCUGUUACCUCCGCAGCUCUACUUUCUUAGACUUCCAUCAGAACCGUUCUCUUGAGGUCAAAUAAAUGAAUUAUCAACUUUUUUUAAUCCCUGUUAUCCAUUUUGCUGCUGACACUUAGAAGUUCCCUGGUUAUUUAUUUAUUUUGUUUGUUUUCUGUAGUAGAGCAAAGCCACCAGAUCAUAAUGUUAACUGUCACUUUUUGGAAAACAGAGGCUGAUGCAUCUUCAGCCUGAAAGUGAGGCUAGGAACAAUAUACCCCUUUUGCUUGUGAUACAACAUGCAUUUUAUUAAAUUAUGAACUAGCCAAGGCAGAGUGAAUUGAAUGCUGAAUUUUUAAAAUGAGAUCACUUCCAGCUAGCCAAGCCACACUCUGCUCUUUGCCAAUAGAUUUAGUCCUCAUAUACACGUUCAGUACAAGUAGAAUUACCACUUUCCAGUUCUCAAAGCCAAAUGGCCUAAUUAGCAUUUUUUGCUAAUUGUUGCUGAUUAAAAAAAUUAAGUAAUGGUUUAGGAAAGGGCUAAGCAACCCCCCCCCCCCGAUUUUCCACCCCAAAUUAUCUCCAUCAAAUGGGGCAACAGUUUCUUCAAAGGCCUUUAGAUCAGUUUAGUUUGGGUCCAUCGUGCCAAAAAUUGGGUGAAGUCAUGCC